rnacentral:rRNA from 1 species
CGCAUUCCGUAGUACGUUAUCGAACCCCCAAACCCCGAAACCCUACAGACCGUAUGCUAACUCGCUAUCUCUAGGUGAACCUGCGGAAGGAUCAUUAAUAGAAAAGGAAAGGCGGGCCCCUCCCCCGGGAGGAUGCCCGACUAUGUUCUAGACCCCCUGUCUACCGACCUCACAAACCCCAAGUACAAACAAUCAAAAGUCGUCCCUAGCGGGGCGCGCUAUAUUAAAUGUACAAAGAAACAAAACUUUCAACAACGGAUCUCUUGGUUCUGGCAUCGAUGAAGAACGCAGCGAAAUGCGAUAAGUAAUGUGAAUUGCAGAAUUCAGUGAAUCAUCGAAUCUUUGAACGCACAUUGCGCCCCUCGGCAUUCCGGGGGGCAUGCCUGUUCGAGCGUCACAAAAACAGAAUCGGGCCCCGUAUGUAGCGUACGGGCGCCCGGCGUUGGGCGAUUGGGCCGCCGCACUUGUAUCUUUGACUUGCAUAUUUCUCUGCGGCCCCGCCCCAAAUACAAUUGGCAGCGGCGCGGAGCCCCGAGCGUACCAGGACCCGUUAAACGGUUGACGCUCCGAGGGCCCCCGUGCUACGGCUUGGCCCCGUAACGAACCCCCACGUCUCGGUGAAACGAGCAAACAAAUUGACCUCGAAUCAGGUAGGGAUACCCGCUGAACUUAAGCAUAUCAUAAAGCCGGAAGGAAAAGC